GACGAACGCUGGCGGCGUGCUUAACACAUGCAAGUCGAGCGGUAAGGCCCUUUCGGGGUACGACGAGCGGCGAACGGGUAGGAGUAACAACGUGGGUGGACCUCGCCCUCCAGCUCUGGGAGUAAAGACCUCGGGAAACGUAGGGUCGUAAUAACUGGAGUAUGACUCCACGGUGCAUGUCGUGGGGUGGGAAAGACCUUGUGCGG
rnacentral:rRNA from 1 species